GACGAACGCUGGCGGCGCGCCUAACACAUGCAAGUCGAACGGAGCUGAGAGAAGCUUGCUUUUCUUAGCUUAGUGGCGAACGGGUGAGUAACGCGUGAGUAACCUGCCCUGGGGUGGGGGACAACAGUUGGAAACGACUGCUAAUACCGCAUAAGCCCACGAUCCGGCAUCGGAUUGAGGGAAAAGGAUUUAUUCGCUUCAGGAUGGACUCGCGUCCAAUUAGCUAGUUGGUGAGGUAACGGCCCACCAAGGCGACGAUUGGUAGCCGGACUGAGAGGUUGAGCGGACACAUUGGGACUGAGACACGGCCCAGACUCCUACGGGAGGCAGCAGUGGGGGAUAUUGCACAAUGGGGGAAACCCUGAUGCAGCGACGACGCGUGGAGGAAGAAGGUUUUCGGAUUGUAAACUCCUGUCGUUAGGGACGAUAAUGACGGUACCUAACAAGAAAGCACCGGCUAACUACGUG
rnacentral:rRNA from 1 species